GGGGUUGGGGCUCAGUGGUAGAGCGCUUGCCUAGCAUGCAUGAGGCACUGGGUUCAAUCCUCAGCGCCA
rnacentral:tRNA from 1 species